GUAGUCCUCUUGUAUACCCGUGUCGGGGCUAGGUGGAGGACUGGAAGAGCUCGGGACAUUGUCGUGAUGGAAGUGUUGGGAUUGGUGGAAGUGGGGGGAUUGAUAUUGUGGUAGGUGUUGGGACUGUUGAUGGUGAUGGGAAUGUUGAGUUUGGUGUUGGUAGUCUUCAUGGUAUUGGGGUUGAGUUUGUGGUAUGUAUUGUUGAUUUGGUUGGGGGGUGGACAUGUGUUUUGGUGGUUGUUGUUGGUAAUAUGGUGGUGGUGGUUGUUGUUGGUAAUAAGGUGGUGGUGGUUGUUGUUGGUAAAAUGGUGGUGGUGGUUGUUGUUGGUAAUAAGAUGGUGGUUGUUGUUGUUGGGAAUAUUGUGGUGGUUGUUGUUGUUGGAAAUAUGGCUGUUGCAUCCGGGGAUCGUCCAAAUAGAACGGAUCAGACACAAUCAUUUCUGGAUUUGUAUUUGCUCUAUACCAAUCCACAUAUUCCCUUGUCGGCUUCAUUUCGUUGGGCGCCACCGAAAAUUGUAGAACAUAGUGGGCCCGGUCUUUCCACAUUUUACGAAACUCCUUAGCAAAUUCCUUCCAAUUUUGGGCAUACCACUGGUGGCUGACUUUUUUUAGAUGCCAAGGUUCCAUAGACAUUGGGCAUGAUCUUGAUGCAUUCCAAUUAGCCUUGAAUCCCCAUUCCCACCUUUGACAAGCCCACGUCACUGAACCAUUUAUGGCUUUCUGAUCAAAACAGCUCCGAUUAUUCCCGUGGUUUUGUUUUUCCCAAUCCCAAAUAAUGCCCCUCCCCAAAUAAUAAUCUGCUAAACAUAUACACAAAAGUAAAACCAUAUGUUAUUCCUAUACUUAUAAUAACGACACACUUCUAUAUAAUCAUACCAUAUGUUAAAGUUGAAGAAAUUAAGUCCUACACUUACAUCGCUCUUUCGAGGUAAACGAUACUCUCAUUCAAAAAACGAAUAAUACUUCAACAACAUUUUCAUAUAUUUUAAUGUACGACGGCCUAACAAAGAAAUCUCAUUCACCUUUUAACAACCCCACACAAAAAGCAUUAUAUAAGUCAGCAGUNNNNNNNNNNNNNNNNNNNNNNNNNAAAUUUUAAAUUAAAUUAAUUUAUUUACCCAAAUAAUUUGAUUUUUCUAUUCAUUAAAUGUGGUAUAUUGAAAAAUAGAACGUCCAAAUAUUAUUAACGUGAAAGUUAAUUUCAAAAUUAGUGUCUUUUAUUAGUAAUAUUUUUCUCAAGAAAAAGUAAAUAAUAAAUAGCUAUGAUUUUUGCACAUCAUCAUUCCUCUAUAUUAAACCUGCAUCAUUUUAUACAAGGUAACAAUCCCUCCUCUUAUUCUGAUUGUUAAUCAAAUUUGAUAAAAUACUGUAUGUUGAUCACCAUGGCAACUAGAAUCUCAAGCAUUGCCAUUUUAUGUAACAGUAAGUAAUCUGUAGUGUAGAAUUUCUUGGUCAAUACCAAACUGUAGGUGUUAUUUUUUGGGCAUUUUAACUAGCUUGGUAGAAGUUUGUCGAAAGAUGGACCAGCAACAUCCACCCAUUAGCAAGUUUAACGCUUGUUGUGCAGACAUUAAAAGUGCAAUCAUGUCUGUUAAUGCAAAUUUACUCUAUAUUGAAUAGAAUCAACUGGAAAAGCAUGUAUAUAGCCAACUUGUUCAAACGUAUACAAGCUUCCUCUAAAGAUAAACUGGGAAGUAAGUUAAUACUUAUUUUAUUAUCAAAUUCAAAUAAUUUUAUUAAGUUUUAUGAAAAUACGUAAUAUUAAUUUCGUUUUUCUUCGGGUUAUAUUGUCCUAUGCCUCCUCGUUUAAGCUUGAUCAUCGCGAAUUUUUUUUUGAAAUAUCCAACCAUUAAAAAAAAAUCUCAAAAAAUCACCAUUUUUCAAAAAAUUGACAUAAAUGGGCCAUUUUUGCCCUAAUAAUUCAAACCUAAGGGCACCCACCCUACUGUUGGCGCCUACACCUAAUGGGUAGGGCAAUCGCCACUAGGAAGUGGCGCCUACCCCAUUCCCCUUUUAUCUUUUUUUUUAAUAUGUUUUAUUUUUUAUUUUUUUUUAAUUUUUUUUAAUUAUAAAUUUAUAUUUCUUAUAAUUUAAUUAAUCCUAUAUUACACAUCAUAUAAUAAUUAUAUUACCAAGAUAUAUAUAUAUAUAAUACACUAUUAUUUAUAUACUCUAUAUCCUAAUUUACCAUAUGUAUACUAUUAAUUUAAUUUAAUACAAGUAAUCAUAUUUAUUUGUAAAUUUUUGAGAAAAAAAUUAAUUUAUACUACGUGUAAAUAAAUAUUUAUACACAUGUGAAUAAUAUAUAAUAUAUAUAUAUAUACUAUAUAUAUAUUAUAUCAAAACUUAUAUAUUAUAUAAUUAUAUAUAUCUAUCCCAUAUACAUAUAUAAAUAUAUAUAACCUAUAUUAUACUAUAUAUAUCCCUAUAUUCCCUCAUAUAAUAUACAUAGAUACUGAUAGACAAAUCUUUAAAGAUAAAAUAAAGAUACUAAAGAUAAUAAACAAAAAAUAUUUUUAUUUAAUAAUAGAACAAGACAAAUAUUAAAAGGAUACUGAUUAAAAUGCAUUACUCUAAUUUGUUGAUUUAUCACUAUCGAUCGCGGUCUGUAGCGAUCCGCACGGGGAAGGUCAUUACUCGCCCUAGACGGCUUCACGUGUGGUGCGUGGUGCUUCCCCUAUUACCACCCCCCCCUUAGCUUCCUUUUCAUAUGCUAAUCGCUCCCUGCCGUUUGCCGUUAGUCGUUGGGCUCCGAAGUACCUUCAGUGCUGUUAGGAAAGAGGCCCCUCAUGCGCCCUCACAGCUUUGUCCCGGUGCGGACAAACGACUACUCUCCGGUGGCCCCCCCGAAAUGUGUUUUGGUAGUUUUAGGGUUGAAUCGGUGUGCAAAGAACAAUGCUUUGUUGUGGGUGUGUGUAGUCUUGUUGUAGUCCUCCCCUUGUUAUACCUCGUCGGGGCUAGGUGGGGACUGGAAAAGCUCGGACAUGCAUCUGAUGGAAGUGUUGGGAUUGGUGAGAGUGGGGGGAUUGAUAUUGUGGUAGGUGGUUGGAACUGUUGAUGGGAUGGGAAUGUUGAGUUUGUUGGUAGUCUUCAUGGUAUUGGG
rnacentral:lncRNA from 1 species